CGGUCCUAAGGUAGCGAAAUUCCUUGUCGGGUAAGUUCCGACCUGCACGAAUGGCGUAAUGAUGGCCAGGCUGUCUCCACCCGAGACUCAGUGAAAUUGAACUCGCUGUGAAGAUGCAGUGUACCCGCGGCAAGACGGAAAGACCCCGUGAACCUUUACUAUAGCUUGACACUGAACAUUGAGCCUUGAUGUGUAGGAUAGGUGGGAGGCUUUGAAGUGUGGACGCCAGUCUGCAUGGAGCCGACCUUGAAAUACCACCCUUUAAUGUUUGAUGUUCUAACGUUGGCCCGUAAUCCGGGUUGCGGACAGUGUCUGGUGGGUAGUUUGACUGGGGCGGUCUCCUCCCAAAGAGUAACGGAGGAGCACGAAGGUCAGCUAAUCCUGGUCGGACAUCAGGAGGUUAGUGCAAUGGCAUAAGCUGGCUUGACUGCGAGCGUGACGGCGCGAGCAGGUGCGAAAGCAGGUCAUAGUGAUCCGGUGGUUCUGAAUGGAAGGGCCAUCGCUCAACGGAUAAAAGGUACUCCGGGGAUAACAGGCUGAUACCGCCCAAGAGUUCAUAUCGACGGCGGUGUUUGGCACCUCGAUGUCGGCUCAUCACAUCCUGGGGCUGAAGUAGGUCCCAAGGGUAUGGCUGUUCGCCAUUUAAAGUGGUACGCGAGCUGGGUUUAGAACGUCGUGAGACAGUUCGGUCCCUAUCUGCCGUGGGCGCUGGAGAACUGAGGGGGGCUGCUCCUAGUACGAGAGGACCGGAGUGGACGCACCUCUGGUGUACCGGUUGUCACGCCAGUGGCAUUGCCGGGUAGCUAAGUGCGGAAGAGAUAACCGCUGAAAGCAUCUAAGCGGGAAACUUGCCUGAAGAUGAGUCUUCCCGGAGGUAAAACCUCCCUCAAGAGUCGUCCGAGACCAGGACGUCGAUAGGUCAGGUGUGUAAGCGCUGUGAGGCGUUGAGCUAACUGAUACUAAUUGCUCGUGAGGCUUGAUCCU
rnacentral:rRNA from 1 species